rnacentral:tRNA from 1 species
UCCCCUGUAGCUCAAUGGUAGAGCGCUCGCCUGUUAAGCGAAGGGUUGUAGGUUCGAAUCCUACCGGGGGAGCCA